rnacentral:pre_miRNA from 1 species
UGGGCAGUGCCUCCAGGACUGUCCGACCUGAGAAUGCCAGGCUCCAGGCUCAAUCUCAGGUCCGUCAGCCCGAGA